rnacentral:rRNA from 1 species
UACGUAGGGGGCUAGCGUUAUCCGGAAUUACUGGGCGUAAAGGGUGCGUAGGCGGUCUUUCAAGCCAGAAGUGAAAGGCUACGGCUCAACCGUAGUAAGCUUUUGGAACUGUAAGACUUGAGUGCAGGAGAGGAGAAUGGAAUUCCUAGUGUAGCGGUGAAAUGCGUAGAGAUUAGGAAGAACACCAGUGGCGAAGGCGAUUCUCUGGACUGUAACUGACGCUGAGGAGCGAAAGCAUGGGUAGCGAACAGGAUUAGAUACCCCCGUAGUCCCUGA